UAUCUUAAGAAAUAGCGUUAAAGCUUUUUUAUAGUAAUUAGCAAAAGAUUUUAUUGAAAGUGUUCGAAGUUAUAAAGAAUUAUUGGGAAAUUCUAUAAUUUAGAAGAUAUAAUGCUAAAAUUAGUAAGGAUAACAAAGAUUUUUUGGGUUUUAAUCAUUUCUAACCUUUGGAAGAGUAAAUUUUAUUAAUGAACGGGAAAAAGUUUUUUAUUAGUGUCUUCCAACUCAGGAAAUCAAUAAAAUUAUAAUUUGAGGAAAAGGAACUCGGCAAAAAAAAUUUNNNNNNNNNNNNNNNNNNNNCGCUCUUUGAAAAGACUAUCUAAAAUAUAAAGAGUACUGCCUGCCCAGUGACGUUAGUUCAACGGCCGCGGUAUCUUGACCGUGCAAAGGUAGCAUAAUCAUUUGCCUUUUAAAUGGAGGCUGGAAUGAAUGGCAAGACGAAAAUUUAACUGUCUCUUUCUCAACUAUCCUGAAAUUAAUUUCCUUGUGAAGAAGCGGGGAUAAAGUCGUGGGACGAGAAGACCCUAUUGAGCUUAAACAGAAAAUAUAAAUAUAUUUUUUUUAUUCUUAACUAAUAACUUACAAAAAUAUAAUUUUAUUAGGACUAAAGAUAGUGUUGUGUGUUCUAUGUUUUGGUUGGGGCAACCGCGGAGUAUAUUUAACCUCCGCUAAUAAAAAAGAAAAAGAUAUUUCUUUAAAAAAAUAAUUUGUCAAAAUGAUCCACUAUAAAAGUGAUCAAAGGAAAAAGUUACCAUAGGGAUAACAGCGUAAUUUUUUUGGAGAGUUCAUAUUGAUAAAAAAGUUUGCGACCUCGAUGUUGGAUCGGGAUUUCCUAGGGGUGUAGCAGCUUCUAAGGGUUGGUCUGUUCGACCAUUAAAAUCCU
rnacentral:rRNA from 1 species